rnacentral:rRNA from 1 species
AUUGAACGAUGGCGGCAGGCCUAACACAUGCAAGUCGAGCGAGCGGCGGACGGGUGAGUAAUGUCUGGGAAACUGCCUGGUAGUGGGGGAUAACGUCCGGAAACGGGCGCUAAUACCGCAUACCAUCAGAUGUGCCCAGAUGGGAUUAGCUAGUAGGUGGGGGAACGUCUAACCUAGGCGACGAUCCCUAGCUGGUCUGAGAGGAUGACCAGCCAGACUGUAACUGAGACACGGUCCAGACUCCGACGGGAGGAAGCAGUGGGGAAUAUUGAACAAUGGGCGAAAGCCAGAUGCAGCCGUGCCGCGUGUGUGAAGAAGGCGUGCGGGUUGUAAAGCACUUUCAGCGGGGAGGCGUUACCAGCAGAAGAAGCACCGGCUAACUCCGUGCCAGAAGCCGCGGUAAUUC